GAACCCAACACAGUACUGUGUCAAUGCUGAACUGAUUCAUUAGCCAUAGCUUAAUCCCACGUUACUCCAAUCCUCGUGUUUGCUGGCGACAGAACUGCUUCUCAGACUGCAGACUCGGAUUUCAAGUCCGGCCUUCAAAACCUCCCGUUUCGAGUAAAGACAAGGAAACAGAGCGGAGAACAUUUAAUAGUUUAAUUAUAAGCUGCUGUAUACAUUCAGUGAUUAUUCCGAUUUUCAUGUUGCCAGAAGCCAUGGGUGAGACCAGCAAAACAUU